AAGGAGUCUAACUAGUCCCUCAUUUGGGGUUCCCUUUCUUUUAUACUUUUCCCCAUUUAAGAAAUGAGUUUAGCCAAGAAGCACUGCCCAACCCCCAAUAACCAAAUGGCACCAGUCCAAUGAGUGUAGGCAAAGCACAAAUUUGUCUUCUUUUGGAAGGUUCAACGUUUAUUGUUUAAAAUCGGCACUCGUGAACCACAAACCUCCAAUUAAGACUACUUUAAUCAUCCAAGUUGUGAAACACAUACAGGAAUCCAAAGAAAAACCCAAGAAGUACAAGACAGUCCCCUUCGGCGGUCAGGAACCCAAGGAAGCAUCCUGCAGGCAGUCUCAUGUUGGUCCAGUGUCUUGUCGGGUACGCAGUGAGAAGAUUAUUCACACCCAAAGGCUAAACACAAGAAUGGUGGCACACAGGAAAAGCUUGAACAGGACUCAGUCACACGCACGUACUAACACAAGAAGUGGCUCAGAAAAAUUAGCUGAUGGAUUCCCAUCCAGAAGAUCCCCUCUGGAUCCGAGCCACUCACUGCGCUGCUUUGGGCCUCAGUUUCCUCAACUAAAAAUGGGG
rnacentral:lncRNA from 1 species